rnacentral:lncRNA from 1 species
UUCCCUUGAUUUUUACUUGUUCUACUGUGACUUCUAACGUUACAUUACAGUAUCUUGCGUUACUGUAACUCCUAAGUGUUGUCACCAUGAUUUCCAUGAGUUUUCUUUUACUGUGAUUCCUCACAGGGUUUCCUAGUAAUUUCUUUUACUGUGCUUUCUUUCAUUUUGCUUCCAUGAAAUGUGUAUGUUCCUUAGACUUCCUGAGUUUACUUUGCUCGAUUUUCUAUGCUUUCAUCUUUAAAUUUAAUAUGUGGAGGAAACCCUAGGUUAUUGGGGGUUUCACACCACUUAUGUGCAAUUGGGUUGCUUCCUGUUUGAUUUAGAAACCCCAAUUUCUAAAAUUCGUCCCAUUUUCUCUGAUUCUUGUUAAGCUUUGCAAGACCUUUUGCCUUCUCUCAUAGCUAUGUUCUUCUACUUUUGAUUUCAUGACCACUCGAUUGUUUAAUUCUAGCCUUGAAUGUCUUUAUAGUCAGACGUUUUCCCCUCAGAAUAACCUUAAUUUUUGGGGAUUGAUUUCAAACUACUAUUAUGUGAGCUUAUUUGAUUCUUCCCUUGUCCAAUUUGGAUCUGUUUUCUAACUUGAUUCAUUAUUGAGUUUGAAUCUUUAAUUCCUUGAUAUACUAUGUGUUAGUUGAUUUUAUUCUUACCUUAUUUACCUGAACCGCGUAUUUGAAAAACUUCUCUUAUGUAUUUACCCUUUAUUGCACAAUGUGCUAUUGAUUUUCCUUCCUUAAAUAAAAACCUGCCCUAUACUAUUCAAUGUCGACUCCUUAGUUAAAGGAAUUCCUUUCUCCUGAUUAAUUCUGAUUGAUACUGAAUUAUUUUUUGCCUUGCUUAUUUACCUGGUUUCAAACUAUGAAUACCCUACUCUUUUUCUUUAAACACACGAACAAUUGGGUUCAAACACACACACACUCAAAGCUUCUCUUCUGUGCUUUCUACUGAGCAUUCUAUACUGCCUGCUGCUUGAACUCCUACACAUUUGGGAGUUUUCAUGAGUCUGUUCCUAUUUAUUUCUGGUUGUCUGUCGGCUGCUAUUAGUCUGCUAUUCUAGAAUUAUAACGGGUAUGCCCUUCUAUGUUCUAUAAGCAUCCUUAUUCAAUUUCUCUGCUUCUAUCCCUUUCUUUGUGUGUUCAUUUAUGCUUUCCUGCACUAUUUAAUUACUUUCAAGCAUGUUAAUUCCUUUUCCCUAUUCCCUUUGUAUGUGAGUUUGUCCUUGGUCAUAACAACAUUAUGAAUUGGUGUAUGUGAUUCAGGACUAGACUCUUUUGAGUCUCUACUCAAUUGCUUUCCCAUUCCCUUUUCCCCAAUGUGCUGAGCUCUAACUUGGGUCUGUUGGUGUCCUGAUCAUCAUCCAGGCCUGAGUUUGACUCUUUAAGAGUCUACUCUUAUUUGUCUGAAUCUGAGUGGGAGGUUAGGGGUGUGCCAGUCUAUGCCAUGACUGGGUAUGACCACCUUCUGCUGAGGUUUCUCUCUCACUUAACACCUACUCCUAGUUCUUAAGUUCUACCCCCUAGGGUAAGCCAUGCUUAGGGACCCUAGAGUUCCCUCUGAACUUGGAUGCCUAAGGGCUGGUAANNNNNNNNNNNNNNNNNNNNNNNNNNNNNNNNNNNNNNNNNNNNNNNNNNNNNNNNNNNNCUCUGAACUUGGAUGCCUAAGGGCUGGUAAUUCCACACAUUGCACUACUCUGUUACAACUCUCAAUCUUUAGAGUGUAAGCAUUGCCUGGGCUCUUGAAAACCCUUGGAGCUUUGAAACACUCUAAGAGAAGGCCUUGGAAUAUGG